GGGCCCGUAGCUCAAUGGAUAGAGCAACAGAUUUCUAAUCUGUUGGUUGGAGGUUCGAUCCCUCUCGGGCCCG
rnacentral:tRNA from 1 species